UUUUGAUGUAGUUCUGCGUGGUAGUCCGUAAUGGCACCAGUACAGUCUGUCUGUGGCCAAUUGCAGGAAUGAAGCUUACCAGGAUGGUCAAAGGUUCUGCUGUUCAGGCAAGUUGGUUUCACAGCAGAGGCAGCGGAACUGUUGAUUUAUUUGGAAUAUUGUUUAAUUUCAUUUUGCAGCCAUAAAGAGGCAGCAGGCUGGGAGGUGGAGGAGACAUCUGUUGUUUUAAGAGCUUGAAUUUUUCUGUAAUUGGUAGUCCGAACUUCACUCAUACCAAAGAAAGGAUUUUAAUAGUAUGUUGAUUAAAAUUUUCUUCUUUUGAUCUUCAGUAGGAAUGCUGAAAGGCUUAGUUUUUUAAUUCCCUCUCUCUCUUUUCCCCAUUCCCACAGCCUGUUUUCAAGACUGGGCACAGUCUUAAAAUGUAAACACUGGGUUUUGAGUUUGAGGCUCAUAAUAUUUUUCUCGCUUUAGCUUAACUGAUUUUGGGCAAGCUACUUAAUCAUGCCAUCCCAGGGUGUGUGGAGGAGACUUCUUCAAAAAUCUGUUUUGCACAAGAAAGGGGUUUCAUCUUAGUCCCAUUUUCUGCUUCUGUCCCCAAUAGAAACUUCUUCCCAUUACUUAUUCUGAGUGUUAACACCAAGAAAAAACAAGAGUAGAUAGUCAAGAGGACGAGUCUCUCUUGAGGGGGAUGUUCACUUUCCAGAACUGUGAUAAUUCUCGUCUGUCCCACUUCCAAGGCUCUAUUGGUGUGUGUGGCUGUGGGAAGGCUUGUAUAGCUUCACCUGGCCAGAAGAGCUGUGCCUUCCGUCUGCUGGAGUACAAGGCUUCUGUAUGGUUUGUUGUCUCUCCUUUCUGCAAAGAUGUUACACUGGCAUUUCUGGGAUGAUGUCUUCAUACUGAUCCGCUCUGGAGAGGAUGAUAUGGAGCCGCUGUUUCAGGUGGUGGUUUUCAUCCAGGAAGUCAGCUGGAUUUCUAGCUGUUUUCUAGUCUUACAUUUCUGCCUCAUAGAUCAACUCUUCAUGAUAAACCAGAACACUGAACUGUUUGAAGCAGGAAAAAAGAUCAGCUCAAUCUUACAGCCUCUGCUCUGGGUGGUCUGGUUAAUGAUGAUAGUUGCUCUGGGCUCUUAUUUUCUGCAACAGAAAACUCAUAAUUUCCAGUUCUGGAAUGUGUAG
rnacentral:lncRNA from 1 species